ACAUGAAUAGAAAUGGAAAACUAGAAAUAAUAGGUAGCCACACAGUGUCUUUUGCUUAAUGCGCAUGCGCCAAAAUACUACGUCAUGAUGGCGCACUACUUCAUAAUUAGCAUGUUUGUGUAAUCGCGAUGCAUUCCAUGAGGGAACAAACAAGAAGAGAACAAAGGAGCGCCACGUUUGAAUGAUUACAGAUGAGACAUUUGAACUGCAGACGAUGAAUCAAGUAUUUCUUGAUAGAAGCUUUCUUUAUUUUUAAUUUAGUCUUGACAUUCGUGCGGCUUUCACCAUAACGCGCCAGUUCUUACUAUAUGAACACAGGAGGAUCAGUACAGUUUUGUUACUGGAGAUAUGUUACAGUGUGGAAACACAGACCAGUACUGAAGAGGUAACAAACCAAAGGAUGAGGACAGUAAUUUUUUCUGUGCCAGUCGUGAUAAAUACAGAGAAGCUUGAACAUCUCUCAGGAUUCUACAACCACGUUGCCCUGAUGAUUGAGGUAUUUUUUUCCGACUUUCCGGCCUCUUUGGAACAUUUCUUUUCACACAGACUGUGGAGAGAUGGUGUGCAGCUUCAUGACAUUUGAAGUUUACUGCCGAUGGAGAGCUUCUGGGACAUUGACAGACAGCAUUAAUCCAUAAAUGUUGUCCGUGUGAUAGUUGGUAAUGCCACAGUGUUUGACUGGCUAAUAACUUUUUUUAUAUAUAUACGUAUAUACCUUACUGCAAAAGACUCUCAGUCAGAGGACAAAAGACAAAUAUAUUAAAACAUUACCCUCUGUGUUUGACCCAUAGUAAUAUUAGAUCUGGCUUUUAAAUUUGGGUUAAAAUUCUCAAAUUCUAUCUUUUUUAUUACAUUUGUCCACUGUAAUUGAACAGUUGUACAUGACAUUGAGGGUGCUACCACAGAGUGGCGCUGUGGUCAUUAAAAUCAUAAAUUAGUCAUAAAAUCUAACAAAGAAUCCAUUUUUCACUGGGCUAUCCUGUCGUUUACCAUUUCUGAGACAUUUAGUGGGCAACAGUGUGGAUAAACAUGGCAUUGUACAUAUGAAAUUAUGCAGCUCUGGUAUUGAUUUGAUUAAAUAAAUAAUACGAGAAUGUUAAUGUCUGAUGAUACUGUCAUAACACUGUACAAUAAACAGAGAGAACAUGAGCUGAAUUUAAAGACUGAAUCCUAAAUAUUGCUUUGCAUUUACUAGAAAUUUGACAAUUGUGAUCUGGUUCAGCCCGGUUUUCUCAUUUUUAUAUAAUUAUCUUGUGUCAA